GGAUCUGAGGGUGAUGUGGCUGCUACAUCUGUCACCCCACUGAUCACCAGGGUUGACUCAGCUGAUCUGGCUGUCUAGGUGGGUGUCCCCUUCCUCCCCCGAUGCUCUGUGUGCAUCCCUCCAGAAGCUCCAUGUUCCUUCAAAGAGGAUGACCUUCCCCCAUAGAAGAGGACCAUUUUGGGGUCAAGAGUAUACCUGUAGCUACACUCCCUUGCUAGAACCUGCAAACAAGCUCUCCAGGUCAUUUGUAGGAGGACAUAGGUUAGCCAAGCUUUCAUGGCUCCAGACCUUUCUUUUAAAAAAAAAUUAAGA
ensembl:misc_RNA 7SK 7SK RNA